rnacentral:snoRNA from 1 species
AUCCCAUGAUGAGGGGAAUUUUUGAUCAUCAUAUUAAAGCGCUCGAAGGCUUCAUUAAACAUUUCGCCUUGUUGUUGUUGGAAACUCCUAAACCCCUUUCUUGCAU